UACGUAGGGGGCUAGCGUUGUCCGGAAUCAUUGGGCGUAAAGCGCGCGUAGGCGGCCCGGUAAGUCCGCUGUGAAAGUCCAGGGCUCAACCCUGGAAAGCCGGUGGAUACUGCCGGGCUAGAGUCCGGAAGAGGCGAGUGGAAUUCCUGGUGUAGCGGUGGAAUGCGCAGAUAUCAGGAGGAACACCGAUGGCGAAGGCAGCUCGCUGGGACGGUACUGACGCUAAGGCGCGAAAGCGUGGGGAGCGAACAGG
rnacentral:rRNA from 1 species